CCUACGGGAGGCAGCAGUUAGGAAUAUUGGGCAAUGGAGGAAACUCUGACCCAGCAACGCCGCGUGAAGGAAGAAGGUUUUCGGAUUGUAAACUUCUGAUCGGUGGGACGAAGAAAGUGACGGGACCACAGGAGAAAGCCACGGCUAACUACGUGCCAGCAGCCGCGGGAAUACGUAGGUGGCGAGCGUUGUCCGGAAUAACUGGGCGUAAAGGGAGCGUAGGUGGGUGAUGAAGGUAAAUGGGAAAGCCCAGGGCUCAACGCUGGAACUGCAUUUAAUACGGGUCGGCUAGAGUACAGGGGUGGUAACCGGCCUUUCUCGUGUAGCGGUGAAAUGCGUAGCUAUUAG
rnacentral:rRNA from 1 species